CCAAGGAACAUUUGCUCCCUCUCAGAAAGCCUUUGAUAAAACCAAGAGAGAUUCACUUCCCCUUGGCUAACCCAGAUGGUCAGUGAACCUGACAAUUCAGAGCAAGAUGACACACAGAAAUGGGCCGAGAUGGAAGAGAAGGAACUGAGGUGGGAAAACUACCAGGAGGGAAUUUUUGGAGAAAGGUCACUGUGGUGAUGGGGUGUCCUUGAGGGCAGGCUGUGUGCACCCAAGCGCCUUGCGGUCCGACAGAGGUGGAGUUGCUGUACCAGGCUAUGAUGCAGCCCGACAGUUUUCUCUUCAUGGUGGUCCUGUAGAACACUGCGAGGGCCCUCGGGGACAGGACACAUUUCUUCAGCAUCCUGAGGUUGAAGAGUCGCUGUCGUGCCUUCACCACGGGGUGUAGGUGUGCUUUGACCAUUUCAGCGCUUCUGAGACGUGUACGCCAAGGAACUUGAAGUUUUUGACCGUCUCUACGGCGGCCCCGUUGAUGAGGAUGGGGACAUGCUGAAAGGAAUUUUAUAAUAUCUGUACAUUAUAGGAACACCUGUAAUUACAAAAGUACAAUGAUUCAUGUUUUGCUUUCGCUUGAGAUGAAGAAUCAGCAGUAGACACUUUGUAAGUGCAUGAAGAGGUCAACUGUACAAAAGUCAUAUGCCUGUUUGUUGAAACUAUACUUUCAGUUCCUGUUGAUACUAUGCUCCAUUCUUACUUCUGCUAGCACAUGAUAGUAACAGGAGGAAGAAGGAUUGGGAAACUAACUGCAAAUAACAGUAAGCUGAACUCCGCCUAGCAGAGACAUCUUUGUAUUAGCAACUAUUAAUUAUGAGCUUAUAUGGUAUUAAAGUUCUAGAGAACUGAGUGUCUUGCUUGCAAAUUGCUGUAAGUGUAUACUCCGGGUUGCAAAUCUUAUUAAACAACCCAUCCUCUGACUAAAUAAGUUUUCAUGUGGUCUGUGAGUGCACAUAGGGCAGAAAUCUCUAACAAUGCCCAGCCUGGUUCAACCUAAAGUCCACGAUCAGCUCCUUUGUUUAGUUGACAUUGAGGGAGAGGUUGUUUACCUGGCACCACGCCAUCAGAGUGCCCUCACCUCCUCCCUGUAGGCCGCCUCGUCGCUGUUGGUAAUCAGACCUACUACUGUCGCGCAAUCAGCGAACUUGAUGAUGGAGUUGGAACUGUGUGAGGCCACUUGCAGUCGUGGGUACACGGGGCAGUACAGGAGAGGACUGAGGACGCACACUUGCGGCCCAAUUCGCCAGGAAGUCCAGGACCCAGUUGCAUAUGGAGGAGUUCAAACCCAGGGCUGUGAGCUUGGUGGUCAGCGUAGAGCACAGAACCAACCAAACCAUCCUUUUGGUUGGUAGCUAGGUAAGUUAGGUCAUUGUCAUGCGGCUGGAGCUGGGGUUACAGAGGAAGGAGGUUGCCAGGCAGACUAUUAAAGUGACGGUACACAUUACACAGCUGAGUGAACUGAGGUGAGACAGAACAUCUCCAGACAGAACCACGGUCGAUAAAGAAAACACCUCCGGGGGAGAGAAGGUAGAAGGGUGUGUGUGCAGUGUGUGUGUGCAUGUCUGUGUAUGUAUGUAUGUUUUUGUGUGUGUUUGUUUAGUGUCUGUAUCAAUUUUCUGGAAUUUUCAGUAAAUGGUGUGUGUAUGUGCAUACGUUAAGUGUGUGUGUGUGUGUGUACUGUUGGGGAAUAAUCAGAAUUAGUUGGUAAGAUGUUUUAUAUUCAUCAUAUGUUUUUUGGUUACUUCUCAUCAGAAUGUUAUUUUUGUAUAAUACUGUGGCGGGGUUGCAGUAUCUGUUCUAUGUCAAGACUAAGUUGCUUGGGCCGGAGAGAGGGGAGAGGUCAAGCGUGUAUCUCUUGGCUCCACAAUGUCUGUGUGCCAGUCAGUGUGUCUCUGUGAUCUUGUCAAGAUAGGAUGGAUUUGAUAUAUGGCUGUUGAUAUGGAGGAUUUGUUUAUGGUUCUGAGUUUGAGAAAAGCACAUAGUUUUGGAGACAAAGCUGAACGAUGAAUUAUGCCGAUGCUGUCUUAUCCUGUGUGUGACUUUGCUAUAAAGGAUCUCAGUUGAAAUGUGGAAGGGACUCUCAGAGAAUUCAUUGAUAGACACUGAAUUGAUCUGAGAGUCACAGGGUUGUGAUAACGCUCAUAUAAUUAAAGAUGGACUUUGUGAUAACUAACUCUGACUUGUGUGUGGUUUGCUCUCAUGAUUUGGUAAAUAGAGGAAAUUUCCACGACAGUACACACAAGUGUUUGUGUGUGUGUGUGUGUGUGUGCAGGAUAUGGGAGGAAGACUGGACAGCCAGGUAUAGAUAUAGGAUCUUAAUUUGAUCACCCUGUUGCAGGGGAACCUUGAUGCAAUGCAGAAAAUGUCAAACUUGUAGUGUAUUUGAGGUUUAAAAAGGCUUUUGAAGUUUGUAAUUUCCACUUUCAAAUUUCAGACUUGAUUUUUCCUCACAAAAUUUUAUGCCGCAUUUUAGAUCGCAUGAUGCAAAAUGCUUCAUCAGGGUGUCACGUUCUGACCUUCAUUUCCUUUCUUUUGUCUUUAUUUAGUAUGGUCAGGGCGUGAGUUGGGGUGGGCAGUCUGUUUGAGUUUCUAUGUUUUUCCUAUUUCUGUGUUUGGCCUGAUAUGGUUCUCAAUCAGAGGCAGCUGUUUAUCGUUGUCCCUGAUUGAGAACCAUAUUUAGGUAGCCUGGGUUUCACUGUUGUUUUGUGGGUGUUUGUUUCCUGUGUCAGUGUUUGUGCCACACGGGACUGUUUCGGUUAGAUUAAUUUUGUAUUGUGUCAUGUUCAGUUUAUACUAUUAAAACACUUACCACGCUG